AGAGUUUGAUCCUGGCUCAGAUUGAACGCUGGCGGCACGCUUAACACAUGCAAGUCGAGCGGCAGCAUGAUGAGUAGCAAUACACAUUGAUGGCGAGCGGCGGACGGGUGAGUAACGCGUAGGAACCUACCCUUUAGCGGGGGACAACCAGAGGAAACUUUGGCUAAUACCGCAUGAACUCGAGAGAGGAAAGUUGCCCGCGAGGGUGAUGCUAGAGGAGGGGCCUGCGUCCGAUUAGCUAGUUGGUGGGGUAAAGGCCUACCAAGGCGAUGAUCGGUAACUGGUCUGAGAGGACGACCAGUCACACUGGGACUGAGACACGGCCCAGACUCCUACGGGAGGCAGCAGUGGGGAAUCUUGGACAAUGGGGGCAACCCUGAUCCAGCGAUGCCGCGUGAGUGAAGAAGGCCUUCGGGUCGUAAAGCUCUUUAGGUUGGGAAGAAGGGUAUGAGGUGAAUAACCUUGUACAUUGACGGUACCGACAGAAUAAGCACCGGCAAACUCUGUGCCAGCAGCCGCGGUAAUACAGAGGGUGCGAGCGUUAAUCGGAAUUACUGGGCGUAAAGGGCGCGUAGGCGGUGACAUGAGUGUGAUGUGAAAGCCCUGGGCUUAACCUAGGAAGUGCAUUGCAAACGAUGUUACUGGAGUAUAUGAGAGGGUGGCGGAAUUUCCGGUGUAGCGGUGAAAUGCGUAGAGAUCGGAAGGAACGUCGAUGGCGAAGGCAGCCACCUGGCAUAAUACUGACGCUGAGGCGCGAAAGCGUGGGUAGCGAACAGGAUUAGAUACCCUAGUAGUCC
rnacentral:rRNA from 1 species